CGCGGGGUGGAGCAGUUCGGUAGCUCGUCGGGCUCAUAACCCGAAGGUCGCAGGUUCAAAUCCUGUCCCCGC
rnacentral:tRNA from 1 species